UGUAAGACUGCCACGUAUGACAGUUUUGUUCUUAUCCAUACGAUUCGUCAGCAAUUCUUGUUGUUGUGUUUUCAAUUUUAUUUCCUCUGCUUAUUACGAAUUUGAUUCAACCAAGAAGAAGCUCGAGUGUUUCGACUGUUGGAGUUAUGUUACAAAAUACGAAAAAGGAGAAGGCAAGGAAGACUGCAACUUGAAAAUCAGUUCUUAAGAAAUCCCAUAGCAGGGUUCCUGAAGCAACAGCAUGCUUGAUAAAUGGUAAGAGUUUCUACAUAUAGGAAACCUACCAAGAGAUUGAAUACCUUUUGCAUCAAACUGAGGUUGUCUGUAUCAAAGAAGGGUAGCAGCCGCAGGGAGGAAAUCUUGAUGUUUAAAUUUUGAUGGGUGUAUGUGAUUUUUAGAGUAUUUUGAUGGGUGUAUUUUAGGAUACAGUAUAAAGUACGGUCAAGAACAUAGAUCACGAGAUUGGCACCUUAUGUUUUUUAAUCCAGUCUAAUCGAUUUGCCACUGAUCCCAGUGGCAUUCCAAAGACACCAACAGUAGUGGCAAUGAUUUUGAUGCAAGUUAGUGAAGUUAUUCCACUAUUACAA